rnacentral:rRNA from 1 species
UACGUAGGGUGCGAGCGUUAAUCGGAAUUACUGGGCGUAAAGCGUGCGCAGGCGGUUUUGUAAGCCAGAUGUGAAAUCCCCCGGGCUUAACCUGGGAAUGGCAUUUGGGACUGCAAGGCUGGAGUACGGCAGAGGAGACUGGAAUUCCUGGUGUAGCAGUGAAAUGCGUAGAGAUCAGGAGGAAUACCGAUGGCGAAGGCAGGUCUCUGGGCUGAUACUGACGCUCAUGCACGAAAGCGUGGGAGCAAACAGG